GUGGGGAAUUUUGGACAAUGGGCGCAAGCCUGAUCCAGCAAUGCCGCGUGCAGGAAGAAGGCCUUCGGGUUGUAAACUGCUUUUGUCAGGGAAGAAAUCUUCUGGGCUAAUACCCCGGGAGGAUGACGGUACCUGAAGAAUAAGCACCGGCUAACUACGUGCCAGCAGCCGCGGUAAUACGUAGGGUGCGAGCGUUAAUCGGAAUUACUGGGCGUAAAGCGUGCGCAGGCGGUUAUGUAAGACAGAUGUGAAAUCCCCGGGCUCAACCUGGGAACUGCAUUUGUGACUGCAUGACUGGAGUGCGGCAGAGGGGGAUGGAAUUCCGCGUGUAGCAGUGAAAUGCGUAGAUAUGCGGAGGAACACCGAUGGCGAAGGCAAUCCCCUGGGCCUGCACUGACGCUCAUGCACGAAAGCGUGGGGAGCAAACAGGAUUAGAUACCCGAGUAGUCC
rnacentral:rRNA from 1 species